GAUGAACGCUGGCGGCGUGCCUAAUACAUGCAAGUCGAGCGAACAGACGAGGAGCUUGCUCCUUUGACGUUAGCGGCGGACGGGUGAGUAACACGUGUAUAACCUCCUUAUAAGACUGGUAUAAUUUCGGGAAACCGGAGCUAAUACCGGAUAAUAUACUGAACCGUAGGGUUCAAUAGUGAAAUACGGCUUUUCUGUCACUUAUCGCUGGAUACGGGCCGCAUGAGCUAGUUGGUAAGGUAACGGCUUAGCAGGGCGACGAUGCGUAUCCGACCUGAGUGACUGGUCGGCCACCUUGGAGCUGGGCCGCGGUCCAGAGUACUGCGAGAGGCAGCAGUAGGGAACGUUCCGCAGUGGGCGAGAGCAUGGCGGAGCGGGGCCGCGUCAGUGAUGACGGUCUUCGGUUCGUGAAGCUCUGUUAUUAGUGAAAAACAGAUGUGUACGUAGCUGUGCACGUCUUGACGGUACCUAGUCAAAAAGCCACGGCUAACUACGUG
rnacentral:rRNA from 1 species